CGAAGCCGGAAUCGCUAGUAAUCGCAGAUCAGCAUGCUGCGGUGAAUACGUUCCCGGGUCUUGUACACACCGCCCGUCACACCAUGGGAGUCGGAAAUGCCCGAAGUCAGUGGCCCAACCGCAAGGAGGGAGCUGCCGAAGGCAGGUCCGGUGACUGGGGUGAAGUCGUAACAAGGUAUC
rnacentral:rRNA from 1 species